rnacentral:lncRNA from 1 species
GACUGACGGGACUCUAUCUAAAAAUCCUUCAGAGGCCAAUUGACUAAGGUGGGUGGCCUCACAAUAUAUUUUAAUGAAUGGAUAACUUUACAAAAGAUCAUUCUCCCUUCUGCUACUGAAGUACUUGAGACAUAUAGAUGCCGACUAUGCAUUCUGAGAAGUUCAUGAAGAACUUUAUGAAAAUCACUUGAGGAUAAAUUAUUGGCUUAUAAAGUCCUGCAACA